AUUGAACGCUGGCGGCAGGCCUAACACAUGCAAGUCGAGCGAGCGGCGGACGGGUGAGUAAUGUCUGGGAAACUGCCUGCUGGAGGGGGAUAACUACUGGAAACGGUAGCUAAUACCGCAUACCAUCAGAUGUGCCCAGAUGGGAUUAGCUAGUAGGUGGGGUAACGGCGCACCUAGGCGACGAUCCCUAGCUGGUCUGAGAGGAUGACCAGCCACACUGGAACGGGGCCACGGUGCAGCUUCCGACGGAAGGCAGCAGGGGGGAAUAUUGCACAAUGGGCGCAAGCCUGAUGCAGCCAUGCCGCGUGUAGGAAGAAGGCCUUGGGGUUGUAAAGUACUUUCAGCGGGGAGGCGUUACCCGCAGAAGAAGCACCGGCUAACUCCGUGCCAGCAGCCGCGGUAAUAC
rnacentral:rRNA from 1 species